rnacentral:misc_RNA from 1 species
CAGAGUUCAGUGCCCUAGGGUAUACCUCCCACCCUUGUUUAUUAUUACCUUUGUUGCUUUGGCGAGCCGUCCUUCGGGGCUCUGCUGGUCAGUGCCGCCAGAGAGACCUAAAACUCUGUUUGUUAAUAUUCGUCUGAGUACUAUAUAAUAGUUA